rnacentral:rRNA from 1 species
AGAGCGAACGCUGGCGGCAGGCCUAACACAUGCAAGUCGAACGCCGUAGCAAUACGGAGUGGCAGACGGGAUAGUAACACGUGGGAACGCGCCCUUCGGUUCGGAAUAACUCAGGGAAACUUGAGCUAAAUACCGGAUACGCCCUUACGGGGAAAGAUUUAUUGCCGAAGGAACGGCCCGCGUCGGAUUAGCUAGUUGGUGAGGUAAUGGCUCACCAAGGCGACGAUCCGUAGCUGGUCUGAGAGGAUGACCAGCAUCACUGGGACUGAGACACGGCCCAGACUCCUACGGGAGGCAGCAGUGGGGAAUAUUGGACAAUGGGCGCAAGCCUGAUCCAGCCAUGCCGCGUGGAUGAUGAAGGCCCUAGGGUUGUAAAGUCCUUUUAACGGGGAAGAUAAUGACGGUACCCGUAGAAUAAGCCCCGGCUAACUUCGUGCCAGCAGCCGC